GUGUUGUAUGAAAGGAGAGAAGGUUAGCACUCCCCUUGACAAGGAUGGAAGAGGCUCUCGGGCCUGACAAAAAAGCACUAGGUUACCUUUAGAUAACAAAGGGCUAAAAUUGAGAAUAUAU
ensembl:snRNA